CCUACGGGUGGCAGCAGUGAGGAAUAUUGGUCAAUGGCCGGAAGGCUGAACCAGCCAAGCCGCGUGAAGGACGAAGGUGCCAAGCAUUGUAAACUUCUUUUGUCAAGGGACAAAAUCAGGCUCGAGAGCCUGACCGUGGGUACUUGAAGAAAAAGCAUCGGCUAACUCCGUGCCAGCAGCCGCGGUAAUACGGGGGAUCCGAGCGUUAUCCGGUUUUAUUGGGUUUAAAGGGAGCGUAGGGGGACUGUUAAGUCAGCGGUAAAAGCCCGGGGCUAAACCCCCACUGGCCGUUGAAACUGGCUGUCUUGAGAUGUCGAGAGGUAUGCGGAAUGCGCGGUGUAGCGGUGAAAUGCUUAGAUAUUGCGCAGAACUCCGAUUGCGAAGGCAGCAUACCGGCGGCGAUCUGACGCUGAGGCACGAAAGCGUGGGUAUCGAACAGGAUUAGAUACCCGAGUAGUC
rnacentral:rRNA from 1 species